rnacentral:rRNA from 1 species
CAGUAGCCACGGGAAAACAGAGGGUGCAAGCGUUAAUCGGAAUUACUGGGCGUAAAGCGCGCGUAGGUGGUUUGUUAAGUUGGAUGUGAAAGCCCCGGGCUCAACCUGGGAACUGCAUCCAAAACUGGCAAGCUAGAGUACGGUAGAGGGUGGUGGAAUUUCCUGUGUAGCGGUGAAAUGCGUAGAUAUAGGAAGGAACACCAGUGGCGAAGGCGACCACCUGGACUGAUACUGACACUGAGGUGCGAAAGCGUGGGGAGCAAACAGGAUUAGAUACCCCUGUAGUCCCUGUCUCUUAUAC